UAAAAAAAUUCCGAGUCUGUCCGCCUAAUCCGGAAGGGAUGGCGGCUGACCGAUGGGUGCGGAGGGAAACCUCCGUGCCUCCCGUGUUUGGAAAGGAAUGGU
rnacentral:ncRNA from 1 species